UACGUAGGGGGCAAGCGUUGUCCGGAUUUAUUGGGCGUAAAGAGCGUGUAGGCGGCCUGACAGGUCUGCUGUGAAAACUCGGGGCUUAACUCCGGGCCUGCAGUGGGUACGGGCAGACUAGAGUGCGGUAGGGGAGACUGGAAUUCCUGGUGUAGCGGUGAAAUGCGCAGAUAUCAGGAGGAACACCGGUGGCGAAGGCGGGUCUCUGGGCCGUAACUGACGCUGAGGAGCGAAAGCGUGGGGAGCGAACAGG
rnacentral:rRNA from 1 species